AUGACGGAGGAGGCCGAGGGCUGUGUUGUGGCCGAGGCGGCGGGCAUCAUCUGCUCGCUCCGCGCGGCCGACGUCGCCGGGUGGACGCCGCCCUGGAAGGCGAGCGGGCCACCGUCGUCCGAAGCCACGGGGAAGGAGGAGGCGGCCUGGCCGGCGGUGGCGCGGGGGAAGCGGACGCGUUCGUCGCGCCGCCGCUCGCCGUCGGGCUCCGGCUCCAAGGCCAACAAGGGGAGGUGGGCCCGCGGCAGCCCGGCGUCUCCGCUCGACUACAGCGGCGCGUCCAGCAGCGGCGGCGAGGACGGCGCCUUCUGCUCGCCACCGGAGGCCGUCGCCCGCGUACACGCCGAGGCCACCCCCACCGCUGUCCCAGCUUCUUCCUCCUUGGCCAAGGUGGGAUCUGCCGGAGGAGCACGACGCCCGUUGAUCAUGCCGGUGCCGCCGCCCCGCACCGCCGGCCAGAGGUCGCGGAAGAAGAUGCGGCUCCCGGAGGUGAAGCAGUUGGUGCUGUCCCUGUCGGCAGAGAACGUCGGCCUUCGCCAGGAGAUGGAGUCCCUGCAGAGGGCCUGCACGGCGCUGUCCGAGGAGAACGGCAGACUAGAGACAAGGCUAGAAAAUUCUUCUUCGUCAAGCAAGCGGAAGAGGGCCGAAUCAGAAGGGGGGGAGCAGCGGCAAUGGAAGCCACAGCAAGCCGGAGGCGGCUUCGUGCUCCCUGACCUCAACUUUCCGGCGCAGGAUGUCGCCGAUGCACCAGCGGCUCCCUGA
rnacentral:rRNA from 1 species